rnacentral:tRNA from 1 species
GCGCCCGUAGCUCAACUGGAUAGAGCGUCUGGCUACGGACCAGAAGGUUAGGGGUUCGACUCCUCUCGGGCGUA